UCCGGCUCUUCGCCGGCAGUCUCUCUAGAGUCCCCGCCAUUACGCGCUGGCAACACAGGACAAGGGUUGCGCUCGUUGCGGGACUUAACCCAACAUCUCACGACACGAGCUGACGACAGCCGUGCAGCACCUGCGCAGGCUCCCUUGCGGGUCCCUCCCGUUUCCGGUCGGUACCACCUGCAUGUCAAGCCUAGGUAAGGUUCUUCGCGUUGCAUCGAAUUAAACCACAUGCUCCGCUGCUUGUGCGGGCCCCCGUCAAUUCCUUUGAGUUUUAGCCUUGCGGCCGUACUCCCCAGGCGGGGCACUUAAUGCGUUAGCUGCGGCACGGGAGGAGUCGACACCUCCCACACCUAGUGCCCAUCGUUUACGGCGUGGACUAC
rnacentral:misc_RNA from 1 species